rnacentral:tRNA from 2 species
GCCGCCUUAGCUCAGUUGGUUAGAGCGCUUGAUUGUGGAUCAAGAGGUCCCCCGUUCAAUCCGGGGAGGCGGUACCA